rnacentral:rRNA from 1 species
GACGAACGCUGGCGGCGUGCUUAACACAUGCAAGUCGAACGGAAAGGCCCCCUUGUGGGGUACUCGAGUGGCGAACGGGUGAGUAACACGUGAGUAACCUACCCUUUACUUUGGGAUAACUUCAGGAAACUGGGGCUAAUACCGUAUAGGAGCUCCUGCUGCAUGGUGGGGGUUGGAAAGUUUCGGCGGUUGGGGAUGGACUCGCGGCUUAUCAGCUUGUUGGUGGGGUAGUGGCUCACCAAGGCUUUGACGGGUAGCCGGCCUGAGAGGGUGACCGGCCACAUUGGGACUGAGAUACGGCCCAGACUCCUACGGGAGGCAGCAGUGGGGAAUAUUGCACAAUGGGCGGAAGCCUGAUGCAGCAACGCCGCGUGCGGGAUGACGGCCUUCGGGUUGUAAACCGCUUUCGCCUGUGACGAAGCGUGAGUGACGGUAAUGGGUAAAGAAGCACCGGCUAACUACGUG